rnacentral:lncRNA from 1 species
GCGGGAACCAUCUGCUGUAGAAGCUCAGACGGAGAUUUUUUUUUGGGGAAGUCUGGUUUCAUGAGGAGUUUGGUAGAGGAUCGACCGACGGUGGAGUUCGGAUGGCAUUGCGGAGUUCGUCCGCUGAAGGAGUCUGAAGGGUCCUGUGGAAGUCUGGUUGGCAUUGUUGAAGUCCGUAUGGAGACCGCUUAUUAAAGAAGCUCGACUGAAGUCCACUUGUAACAGGAGUUC